rnacentral:rRNA from 1 species
UGGCGGACGGGUGAGUAAUGUCUGGGAAACUGCCUGAUGGGGGGGGAUAACUACUGGAAACGGUAGCUAAUACCGCAUAACGUCGCAAGACCAAAGAGGGGGACCUUAGGGCCUCUUGCCAUCGGAUGUGCCCAGAUGGGAUUAGCUAGUAGGUGGGGUAACGGCUCACCUAGGCGACGAUCCCUAGCUGGUCUGAGAGGAUGACCAGCCACACUGGAACUGAGACACGGUCCAG